AAGUCGUAACAAGGUUUCCGUAGGUGAACCUGCGGAUGGAUCAUUAACGUCAAUGAAAAAAUAUUAUUAGCGGAUGGCAAUAUGAGAAAUGUCGUUCGUGUAAUAAUAUUUUCAUUAAUGUACACCCUUUGUGGUGAAAACAGGAAUAUUUUAUUGUAGUAGUUAAUUUUUGAUUAAUGACUCCACUGUGGAGUUGUUUGAUAUCAGAGGUGCUAUUAUCAUCUAUAUAAAGACCCAAACAUUUAUUAACAUUUCUAAUGCUAAAGUAACCUUGUGAACUAAACAUUGAAAGCAAUUGAUAUAUUUGUUACCAAGUAAAACAAUUAAUAAAUCUAAUACAACUGCUAGCAACGGAUCACUCGGCUCUC
rnacentral:misc_RNA from 1 species